CUCCAUCAUUCGCCAUGUUCUCUUAUUCUCUCCUGCUGGUUCUGCUGGGACUUUCCUGCCUCCAGUCCUUCACAAUGGCAAAUAGAAACAAGAUUUGACUGUCCAGUUCCUGGAGUCAUUAUUACAACAAAAAGAGGUUUUCGUUUUUGUGCGGACCCUGAGAAAGACUGGGUGAAGAAGGGCAUCCAAAGCCCCCAAACUUCAG